rnacentral:rRNA from 1 species
UAAUGUCUGGGAAACUGCCUGAUGGAGGGGGAUAACUACUGGAAACGGUAGCUAAUACCGCAUAACGUCGCAAGACCAAAGUGGGGGACCUUCGGGCCUCAUGCCAUCAGAUGUGCCCAGAUGGGAUUAGCUAGUAGGUGGGGUAAUGGCUCACCUAGGCGACGAUCCCUAGCUGGUCUGAGAGGAUGACCAGCCACACUGGGACUGAGACACGGUCCAG